GGAAAUCUCUCCAGGCCCGGACACUGGAAGGAUUGACAGAUUGAUAGCUCUUUCUUGAUUCUGUGGGUGGUGGUGCAUGGUCGUUCUUAGUUGGUUGAGUGAUUUGUCUGGUUAAUUCCGUUAACGAACGAGACCUUAACCUGCUAAAUAGUGACGCGGUUCAUCGAACCGUGGGCCACUUCUUAGAGGGACUAUCGGAUUCAAACCGAUGGAAGUGUGAGGCAAUAA
rnacentral:rRNA from 1 species